UGCCUGCAAAAAAAAAAAAAAAAAAAAAAAAAAAUCCCAUAUGGAAAACCAUUAAAAUAUCCCAAGUGCCUGGCUUUGGUAGUUAAAUAAAAUCUUUGGUUUCUUUCCCACUUUUCUGUGAUUUCCAGCUUUACUAUAAUGAACAUUUUAUUUAUUUAUUUUUAUUUUAUUUAUUUGUUUGUUUCGAGAUGGAGUCCCGCUCUGUCGCCCAGGCUGGAGUGCAGUGGCACGAUCUUGGCUGAAUACAACCUCCACCUCCCAGGUUCAAGCGAUUCUCCUGCCUCAGCCUCCCCAGUAGCUGGGAUUACAGAUGUGCACCGCCACGCCCGGCUAAUUUUUGUAUUUUUAGUAGAGAUGGGGUUUCGCCAUGUUGGCCAGGUUGAUCUCAAACUCCUGACCUCAAAUGAUCCGCCUACCUCAGCCUCCCAAAGUGCUGGGAUUACAGGCGUGAGCUACCUCGCCUGGCCUAACAUGUUAUUUUAUUAUUUAUUUAUUUAUUUAUUGAGACAGAGUUUUGCUCUUGCUGCCCAGGCUGGAGUGCAGUGGCGUGAUCUCAGCUCACCGCAACCUCUGCCUCCCGGAUUCAAUCGAUUCUCCUGCCUCAGCCUCCUGAGUAGCUGGGAUUACAGGCAUGCGCCACCACGUCCAGCUAAUUUUGUAUUUUUAGUAGAGACAAGAUUUCUCCAUGUUGGUCAGGCUGGUCUCGAAAUCCUGACCUCAGGUGAUCCACCUGCCUCGGCCUCCCAAAGUGCUGGGAUUACAGGCUUGAGUCACUGUGCCCGGCCUCAUGUUAUUUUAUAAUGUGAGAAAUAGAAGACUUCUUUCCCCCCAGAAGGCUCUGAAUUGAGAGUUCCCUCCUACUGCCCUGGGUGGCGGGGGGGAAGCUGUUUUAUAGAGAAGGGAGUAAGGGUGACCGACGGUGAUCUGAGUGGUCAGGGAGGGGACACCCCAGGCUGAGAUGUUUGGUUGUCUGCUCUGCCUUCCUAGGGGUCCGCCUGAGUGCAUAGCAAAACCCGCUUCACCUAUGCACCUGCUGGGCCAGUCCCCGUGUGGAACCCCGUUAGCUCCAUAUGCCAACGAGCUCAUUCGAUUCUCUGUCAGUGGUGGCAUGAGGGCACUAUUUACAGCAGGGGAAACUGAGACUCAGAGGGUCUAAGCCACUCGCCUGCUGUCACGCAGCUGGUAAAUAGCAGAUCCAGGCCUAUGCGAGGCCCAACUCAUUCUUGGGCCCAAGCUCUUGAGCCUUUCAUGGAACUGUCCUCCAUCCAGCCUGGCGGGGCUUCCCAGGUGGUGUCCCAGGGCCUGACAGUCCCCAGCAGGGGUUGCCUCUGUGCCAGCCUUGUGUGGGGCUGGUGGGUGCAGGCAAUGGAGGGAGGUCAUGCCUGUCCCUCUGAGGAAGGGCAGCAGGACUCACCUCCUUGGCCACAGUUCCUCUCCCUGUCAGCCAUGGGUGCCUGUGUGGUUUUCCAUCUGCUGACGCAGACCCCCAGGUCCACUUUCAGGAAGGGGAAGGCACAUACCCUUCACCCACCACUCCCUCCAGCUCAGGGGCCCAGCCCCCGCCGGAAAAACUCUAGGUGAACUCCUGCUUGUGUGUGUUGGGGAACCCUCCUGCCCUCGUGCAGGCUUCCCUUGGGAGUGGGCCUGGGUGGGGGACGCUGCCCUGGAGAAAGUCCAAGGGAAAAAGCACAUGCUGGAGCCCCAGAUUCUGAAAACAGGAUGUGGGUUGGGGGCGCUGCUGGCCUCCCCCUCCCGACCUCCCUCUGCCCCCAGCAAAUCUGCUACCCGCCCCCUGCCCCCAGCCACAGGGGCUCAGGGUCACACCUCAUCUCCCUUGACUGUCCAGGAAUGGUCCCCACCCUGUCCUGUCCCGUGGCUCCUGCUGGGUCAGGCCAUUGGCGCCACCUGGAAAAAGCCCAUCAGACCUGCGGGAAUGGAAAGCAGCUGAGGCGGUGGGCCAGGGUGGGGCGGGAAGUGGAGAGCCCAUGGUCACCCUGUGCUGUCCGCAGCCUGUGAUGCCACAGGGCCAGACCCAGAGACUCUACAAUCUCAGGCCUGGUCCUCUUUCCCUGAUCGUGCAAUCCAGCCUGAGAGGAGGUGUUGCUGAUGCUGCCUAGAUCUGGCAGCCGGUGGCGCCAUUCUUGGCCAUGCUUAAAGACUGGGGCCGGGCCGGGCGCGGUGGCUCACGCCUGUAAUCCCAGCACUUUGGGAGGCCAAGGCAGGCGGAUCACAACGUCAGGAGAUCGAGACCAUCCUGGCUAACACGGUGAAACCCCGUCUCUACUAAAAAAUACAAAAAAUUAGCCAGGCGUCAUGAUGGGCGCCUGUAGUCCCAGCUAUGCGGGAGGCUGAGGCAGGAGAAUGGCGUGAACCCGGGAGGUGGAGCUUGCAGUGAGCCGAGAUGGCGCCACUGCACUCCAACCUGGGCGACAGCAAGACUCCAUCUCAAAAAAACAAAAAAAACAAAAAACUGGGGCUGGGCUGAGAGGCCAAUCCUGCCUUGCUCCCGUCUCUGUUCCAGACACCUCUCCCUGGCCAUCAGAUUGUGGGGCCACUGCUCACGUAAGACACACAUGGGUGCACGUAUGUGUUUGUACCCAGUAACUGUCAGCCAUGGUCAACCCCACCACGUUCUUCAACAUCACCGCUGACAGCGAGCCCUUGGGCUGUGUCGCCUUCGAGCUGUUUGCAGGCAAGUUUCCAAAGACAGCAGAAAACUUUCGUGCUCUGAGCACUGGAGAGAAAGGGUUUGGUUAUAAGAGUUCCUGCUUUCACAGAAUUAUUCCAGGGUUUAUGUGUCAGGGUGGUGGCUUCACAUGCCAUAAUGGCACUGGUGGCAAGUCCAUCUGCAGGGAGAAACCUGAUGAUGAGAACUUCUUCCUGAAGCAUACAGUCCUGGCAUCUUGUCCAUGGCAAAUGCUGGACCCAACACAAACGGUUCCCAGUUUUUCAUCUGCAUUGCCAAGACUGAGUGGUUGGAUGGCAAGCAUGUGGUCUUUGGCAGGGUGAAAGUACGCAUGAAUAUUGCAGAGGCCAGGGAGCGCUUUGGGUCCAGGAAUGGCAAGACCAGCAAGAUCACCAUUGCUGACUGUGGACAACUCUGAUGAAUUUGACUUGUGUUUUAUCUUAACCACCAGCCCAUUCUUUCUGUAGCUCAGGAGGGCACCCUCCACCCCAUUUGCUCACAGUAUCCUAGAAUCUUUAUGCUCUCGUUCAGUUCCCUUUGAGUUCCCUGUUUUCCUUGUUCCUUUCCAUGCCUAGCUGGAUUGCAGAAUUAAGCUUAUGAUUAUGAAAUAAAAACUAAGUAAAUAAAAAUAAAUUAUUUGUAAGGCCUGGCAUGGUAGCUCAUGCCUGUAAUCCCAGCACUUUGGGAGGCCGAGGCGGGCGGAUCACCUGAGGUCAGGAGUUCGAGACCAGCCUGGCCAACAUGGUGAAAUCCCAUCUCUACUAAAAAAUACAAAAAUUAGUUGGGCAUGGUGGCACAUGCCUGUAUUCCCAGCUAUUCAGGAGAAUCGCUUGAACCAGGAGGUGGAGGUUGCAGUGAGCCAAGAUCGCGCCACUGCACGCCAACCUGGGCGACAGAGGGAGAGUCUCAAAAAAAAAAAAAAAAUUAUUUGUAGAGAUGAGGGUCUUGCCGUGUUGCCCAGGCUGGCCUGGAACUCCUGGGCUCAAUUGAUCCACCAGCCUUGGCCUCUCAAAGUGCUAGGAUCACAAGUAUGAGCCACCACA